rnacentral:ncRNA from 1 species
CCAAAUGCAUUGAUAAAGAGAAAAAUAUUUGAAAACUUUACAGAGAAUUGGUGGUGCUGAGAGCCAAUAAGGAUAGAAUAUAUAAUAUACACUUUUGAGCAGGUUUGUUGAAUAAUGUUUAAUUUUAGUAGGCAAACACGGACACCCCCGUUAACAGGUUAGAAGUUGAUAGACUUUGAAGCGGCAAUUUUUUUAUUGCAAUUAGGGUGGUACCACGGAAAUCUUUCGUCCCUAUA